rfam:Exidia glandulosa HHB12029 unplaced genomic scaffold EXIGLscaffold_70, whole genome shotgun sequence.
GACGCUAUGGCCGAGUGGUUAAGGCGAUUGACUAGAACGGAUUCCAAUCCACUACAUCAAUUCCGUUCUGCGGGCGUAGGUUCAAGUCCUACUGGCGUCG